rnacentral:lncRNA from 1 species
UUUUACGACAUACUAGAAGACACCCGCGAAAUCGCGGGCAUAUACAGCUUGUGAACUGUUGUAGGAUGAUUUUUUGUAAAAGAUAUUAUGUAUGGAGAAUAACAUAAAAGGUAUCAAAAGCCCUCUCCCUUUGCCAAAGUCCGAUAUUUGUUUCCUUUCUGUGAAAUUCAAUUAUAUUCGUGUUUCUGGCCUACGACCACAAUUAUUCUUUUCCUUUGCUACACUGCUUCUUUUGGUAAAAGUCAAAUCAAAUUAAAAAUUUGCACCGUUUCAAACAUGAAAUAAAUGUAACUGCUUAUAUAUAGACCAUUAUUAGUCUAAAAAAAUAUGCUUCUAUGACAAUCCAUCAGUGAUUUUUUUUUUUGAGAGCCUUAUUAACAUGCCAAUGGUAGGAUUUGAAUCAUGUAUAUACAUAAAUAACUAAUACCGACUAAGGCUAAUUUGAGGGGUUGUCGGAGGGGUCCUGAUCCCGAUAUCCCGAGAUGCAGAAUUUAAAGAAAUUCAUAUCCCGAAAUUGAAAAAUAUAUUCUCGGAUCCCGUAAGGAUCAAUCCCAAAUCCCGCUUAAAAACACCCGAUCCCGACACCCCGAAAAAGGUCCUGCCUCUUUUAAUCUUUACCUAACUUUCAUUUUUGCCAAAUCACUAUUUUCCCUUUUAACAAUAAAUUUU